AUCAAUAAUACUACUAGAUUCGCGAUUAGCGCUUCAAAAGCGGCCCGAAAAAUAAGACCACAAAUAAAUUUGUGGUCUUAUUUCAAAUUAGUAUGGUCCAAUCAUAGCCAACACUAAGACGUCAAAACGCUGCAAUGCGCGUUCAAAAACUGAGUAAAAAACCACCGUAACACCAAGGUUUUGGAAGGAAUAUCUUUUUUUGAUUUCCUAGUAGCCCCUUGUCGCUGUGCACAAUGGAUAUAUAUUGUCGCGAAAGAAAGAGGAGAAGAAAUAUAGAACUCUUAUAAACAUUCUAGAAUUGUUCAAUGGUGGUGGCAAAUCAAUGCAAAAAAGUAUUAAAAAAACUUUAUAUGUAUGUGUAAAUAUUUUAAGCGUAUAUGCUGAAAAGGAUUUGUUUUCUGGAGGAAACGAACACAGCCAUAAAAUAAGCCUAAAUUAAACUGAUUAUAGAAAAAUUCAUUGAUAUAAGAUUACAUUAUAUUUGUAAAAAAGAAACCGCUCAUAUAAAAAUGACUUCUAAAAGACAGCUUUAUAACAAACUGAAUCUGUUUAAAGUUAAUUAAUUAAACCUACAUUAUUGUUUUAAUUACUUCUGUAUAAAGAAUACGUGGAAAACAUGUUUCGUGUUUCCUUUCAUAUUUUUUUUACUUUAUUCAAUUUUAUUUUUUAUCACCUAUUUGUUGUAAUAGCGGCAAUGUAAAAUAUUAUCUACUACUUUUUUGAAUCGGUCAAAAAUAGUUGCGACCAUACAAAACAAACCUAAAACAAAUAUGUAUAUUCUGCAACUCUAUGUCUUUCAAUACUUACUGUGUUCUCAGCAUUGAAAUGUAAUACCAAGAACUACAUCUAGUUCCACAAUACAAUAAGCACGAAAUUUUAAACAAAUAUUUUUAACCUUAUAAAUUAGGCUUUAAGUAUCAUUUUAGAAUAAAUAUUUUUGUACUGAUGACUUUUUAUGUUCAA